rnacentral:rRNA from 1 species
CCUACGGGAGGCUGCAGUGGGGAAUAUUGGGCAAUGGGCGCAAGCCUGACCCAGCAACGCCGCGUGAAGGAAGAAGGCUUUCGGGUUGUAAACUUCUUUUAAGAGGGAAGAGCAGAAGACGGUACCUUUUGAAUAAGCUACGGCUAAAUACGGGCCAGCAGCCGCGGUAAUACGGUGGGGGCAAGCGUUGUCCGGAUUUACUGGGGGUAAAGGGCGUGUAGCCGGGCUGACAAGUCAGAUGUGAAAUCCCGUGGCUCAACCACGGAACUGCAUUUGAAACUGUCGGUCUUGAGUAUCAGAGAGGCAGGCGGAAUUCCUGGUGUAGCGGUGAAAUGCGUAGAUAUUAGGAGGAACACCAGUGGCGAAGGCGGCCUGCUGGACGACAACUGACGGUGAGGCGCGAAAGCGUGGGGAGCAAACAGGAUUAGAUACCCUAGUAGUC